rnacentral:lncRNA from 1 species
UUUUCUUUAUUUUUAUUUCAUUCUGCCCCUGGCUUGACCUAGAUCUUAAGUUAUUCAUGGAGAUUUAAAAAUAUAUUCCAGCACUCAAAAUCCUCCCUGGCAAACUUCUGCCAGUUGCAUAACGUAAAUUUUUGUUGUUUAUACUAGCUCCGUUUUUCAUGUCUGUGUUUUUCAAUAGUCCCUCAGCUUGCCUUUCCCAGAGUUCAGCUAAAGUCCUGGGAAGCAACGGUAACCCCAAGACAACCUCUCAGGCAAGUCUAAUGGGCUGAAAUAGGUGGCCUCCAAAGAAGGAGAAUACACCCAGGGAAUGGUCUGAGCACACAGCCCUGGUUAUUUGAGGUUAAUGUGGGUAAGUCUCAUCCAAUCCUUUGAAGGCCUGAAGAACAAAGAGUGAGGUUUCUGGAAGAAGAAAAUUUUACCUCAAGCCUGCAAUGUAGAAAUUCUGCUUGAGUUUCCCGCCUGCUGGCCUGCCCUGUGGAAUUCGGAGUCAAGAAGGAGUCUUGUAAGCAUUAACUGAGAUAGUAUAUGAAGAGUGCUUUUGCACCGAGUGAACCUUCAAUCAACUGUACUAGUUUGUAUGCCUGGAAGAGCUGCUAUAUGGGAUCAGAAAGAAAAAUAAGGUGCAUACGCCAGAAAAAAAAUACUUGCAUAUGAGUACUAGGAGAUGCAUGACAAUGUUCACGGCAGCAGUAUUCAUGGCAGUGAAAAAUGAAAAGAACUGAAAUGCCCAUUGAUAAAAACGUCUACUUAUUUGUGUCAUCUUUGCACAGUGGAAUUGUGCGAGUGGAAAUGAUUGAUCUACAGCUAGGAGAAGCAGCAGAGCUCAAUCUCAAAAACAUAACGUUGUGUGGAAAAAGCUAACCUCAGAACACUUUGCGGCUCUAUCUUAGCAAACCAGGAGAGAAAUUCUCCUGAUGGCCUUGAAGAAGCAAACAGCCACCUGGUUAAGCCCCUGUGGAUAGUGCCAAGUGGCAGGAAAGUGGGAGCCACCUCUAGGACCUGAGGAUUAAAGUCAGUAAGAGCUGGGACCUCACUCAUGCAGACUCGAGGACAUGAAUUCGACCAACAACUUGAAUGAGCUUGGAAGUGGAUUCUUCCCUAGUCCAGUCUUCAGAAAUUAAGAAUGUUCCCAAAGAAUGAUGGAGACAUUUCAAAAGGAUACGGAAGCCAGAUUGUGGGCGCUUCUACUGGCCAACUCUGGGACAUCGUGGACAUCAAAAUAAAUUUGUAAUAAUAAAGGAUUAUAGCCUAUUAGUUAAAUCAGAAAAAUCUGAUUUAACUAAAUGAGUAGGAGGAAAAGAAAGCUCUUCCUUAUAUUAGAAAGUCAAUUAAUAAAUGCAGAAAGGAAUGAAAAAAUUAGAAAAGCCACCAUUUGGCAACCAUGGCAGGCAGAAUGGGGAGUAUGCCUCCAGACAGUAAUUCCUUUCAAACUGGUUUAUAGGAACUCACUGAGCUUGCUGAUCGACCUCUGAGAGGCAAAGUUUCUGAAUUAUGAAGUACUGAUUAUAUAAACUUAGACAGAGACAUGCUUCAUUAUUUAAUAGGACUGUGUCAAAAGCCUACUAUUAGGAUGAUGUGUUGGGUGUGGAACAGGGUCUCUUCCUGCCAGGAACACUGGUGAUUUCACUCCGUGUUCAGGCUGAUCUUUGAAGUUGAAGACAAGCAGAAGAAUCCUUCUAAAAUUUAGCCAUGCCCAUAGGCUGGGAGGGACACUGCUCCAUUCAGAGGCAGCAAAGCACAUUACUGUAUCUCCUAUAGAGCUUUGAGCAGUCCAGUGUACAUGGAGAAACUUAGUAAAUGUUGUUGAAUUAGUGAAUGAACAAAUCAAUGGACCAAGUCAGGGGUAAGUCUUACAUUUGUCAUCUAGGUGAUUAAGAAAGGAAAAAGUAUCUGUUUCAAGAGGAUUACAAUCUAACUGUACUCCAAUAGUAAAAUUUACUCUUUUGGAAUCUGA